rnacentral:lncRNA from 1 species
UCGGCAUUCUUCCAGUUGUGAAAGUUUUCCUUGUACCAUUCAAUUGUUUUCUUUAUUCCUUCUUUCCAAGGCACUUUAGGUCUCCAUCCUAAAUUGUGCAUUUUUUCUGAACUCAUUGGGUAUCUCAGGUCAUUGGUAGGUCUGUCUUUGACAUAGUCCAUCCAGUGCUCCAUUUCAGAUUCUGAACUGGUCUUCUUUAUUAAGUGGAUUAACUCCUUCGCAAGCUGGACGAUGGACAUCUCAAAAUUAGUUCCAAUGUUAUAAAUUUCACCUGGCUUCCCC